CUUGUCUUGCUACUAUAGUUUGAUACCCAGGUAUGUUUUAUAUUCUUCUUACAGUAGCGGUAGUCGUUCUUAUACAUUCUGUUCAUGUAUUAUUAUUGCUACUGUAUUUAGUAUAUCUGCUCAUUACCUUAUACAUCUCUUUCGUUUACUAUUGUUCCUACUGUAUUCCCACUGACCCGUAUUGUUAUAUAGCUCUUCCUGAUCCGGUGAGUACUCCUCGCCUUCUUCGGCUUGCGGUACCCACUGGGAGGGGAGACAUGUUUACAUGUUCUCACCUCCCCCACCAUUUUUUUUUUAGGUAUCGUGGGCGAUGAGUAGUAGGACGAGACGUGAGGUACGUGUGUAGCGGUCGAUAGAGCUUCCGACCCAGGUUAUUUCGGUAUAGUUAUUACCCUUAUUAUUUUAGUUGUUAUAGCUUAAAUAGUUAUAUGGUUCAGUAUUUUUAUUACAUUUGAAAAUAUGGAUUUUCGUGAAUGUAAUAAACGGAUUUCUGGAUUUUGUAAAAUAAAAGGUUUUCUCCCCCUGGUGGUAGCGUUUUUAAAGAAUAAAGGUUUUCGUGUAGGAAACAGUUUUCAAAAGGUUUUCUGUGGAUUUUGCAUCUUAGUAUUUCAAAACCUGUUUCUGUGGUUGGAAACAUUUUAACUGAUAGGUGUGGAUUUAUGCAUAAAUGUGAAUCUAUGGUGAAUGGUGUAUGAAUAUAUAUAACGGUUGGUUAUUUGUAUGUUCAUUUGUUGUGGUUGUGCCUGGAUGACUUCUUGUACUUGUGCGACGCCGUACAAAUACAAGGGAGACUCUGUCCGUGUGAACAGUGGAUUUCCUGUAUUUGUGGCAGAUCUGGCAUACUCUCGGGUCAGGUUUUCAAAAAAAUUCAGACGCUUUUCCGCUUUGUUUUAAACUGAAAAGGGACCCCGGGGCGUGACAGCUAUACUCAUAAAAGUAUAGUAGCCCUAGCCUAUAUAUAUAUAUAUAUAUAUAUAUAUAUAUAUAUAUAUAUAUAUAUAUAUAGCUAGACUACUAUACUAUCUAUAGUACCGAGCUCCGGUACUAUAGUGUUGAUUUUCGAUCUUAGGGCGUUUAAAUCAAUGAUCCACACCGUUAAAAUUGAUCUAGGGUAUUUAAAGUUUCUAGAAAUAAAAUUUUAUAUUUUUUCGACAUAGUUUACUUUAUGAUCAAACUAUUUCAAAAUUAUCAAUUUUCAAUGGCAAUUAUGAGGAGUUUGGAGUUUAACGGUGUAGAAAAAUCUAAAUUUCUUCAAAUUUUGAUAGAAAAUACUUUAAACUAUGUAGAUUAAGGUUAACAUUCUUGAUCUUGAAUUUAAAAGUCCUAUGCUCAAAUUUUAAAGAUUAUUCAAUUUCCACCGUCUAUUUUGAUAUAAUUUAUAUACUAAGUAAAUGAUAUCGAAAAAAACUAAAAUUUUAUUUCUAAGAAAUUCAUAUACCCUAGAUCAUAUUUAACGGUAUGGAUCGUUGAUUUGAAUGCCCUAAGAUCGAAAACAAACACUAUAGUACCGGAGCUCGGUACUAUAGAUAGUGUAGUAGCCUAAUUCUAUAUAUAUAUAUAUAUAUAUAUAUAUAUAUAUAUAUAUAUAACUGGUAUAUCCAAUUUUUCUACUGCGUGCCGAUACUCGGUUUCCAGUAUCGGUACUCAAUACAAAUUCAGUACCGGUACUCAUUUUUUAUUCCUCAAAAUCCGAGAGCUCGAAUUCCUUAUUUUGUAUUGCGUACCGAUACUCAGAUUCUAGUACCGGUACUUAAUACAAAAUCUACAACUUAGGCAAAUUUCAGCUUUCGGAGCACGUUUUCGUGCCCAGUUUGCGCCGAAAAUACUCGAAUGCUCCCAAAACUUUACCGGAACUACUUUAAUAGCUUUAUAAGCUAGUUCCUACCAAAACUUUAUGAUUAUAGAAGUUCGGUAUAUUACAUCUAUACUAUAUAUAUAUAUAUAUAUAUAUAUAUAUAUAUAUAGAGAGAGAGAGAGAGAGAGAGAGAGAGAGAGAGAGAGAGAGAGUAGGUCUUGUGUGUUAUGGCCUCCGUGCUCCUAAGCCGUUUUCGAUAAUAGGACUUUCAAAUUGACGAUCGGCUCCGUUAGAUUUGAUCUAGCAUAUUUAAAGUAUCUAGAAAAUAAAUUUUACAAUUAUUCGAUAUCAUUUAUAUAGCAAUUGAAAGUGUUUAAAAUCAACGUCUGAAAAUAAAAAUCUCACAAAAAGUGGUGAUAUAGCACUAAAAUUUUCAAUCAGAAAUAUUAAUCUUGUAGUAAAUAGUACAAAAAAUUUUUUAUCAAAAUUUUCUCUGAUUUGAAUACCUCUACACCGUUAAACUUGUAAAUGAUAUAUAUCAACCAUUAAAAAUUAUUGAUUUUAAACCUUUCGAUUGCUAGGUAAAUGAUAUCGAAAAACCACAAAAUUUAUUUUCUACAUAUUUCAAAUACGCUAGAUCAAGUUUAAUGGAGCCGAUCAUCGAUUUGAAAGUCUUAUAUAUCAUCGAAAAUGGCUUAGGAGCACGGAGGCCUCCGUGCUCCUAAGUAAUACACGAGACCUACUCUCUCUUUCUCUCUUUCUCUCUCUCUCUCUCUCUCUCUCUCUCUCUCUCUCUCUCUCUCUCUCUCUCUCUCUAUAUAUAUAUAUAUAUAUAUAUAUAUAUAUAUAUAUAGAGCUAGGCUGAAAUACUAUUGAUAACAAAAGAUUUUUUUUGCUAUCAAGUUUUUAACCAUUGGAUGAGAAAUUGUAGGAUUAGAAUGAUAUUAGUCCCUUAGGGUUGAGUGGUCCCCAUAGGGUUGAGUGGUCCCCACUGGGUUGUAAUAUUUAAUCAAAUGGUUAGAAAUGAUAAAAGAAAUUGAUCUAAAGGCUAAAAACUUGAUAGCAGAAAAGGCCUUUUGCAAUCAAUAAUAUCCUAGCCCAACUUUAUAUAUAUAUAUAUAUAUAUAUAUAUAUAGCAGGACUGCUGUGCUCUCAGGAGCACGGAGGCCUCCGUGCUCCUGAGCCGUUUUCGAUGAUGAAAUUUUCGAAUCGACGAUCGGCUCCAUUAGACUUGAUCUAGCAUAUUUGAAGUUUCUAGAAAAUAAUUUUUGCGAUUUUUCGAUAUCAUUUAUCUAGUAAUCGAAAGGAUUCAAAAUCAAUAAUUUUUAACGGCUGAAAAUAAAAAUCCUAUAAAAAGUGGUGAUAUAGAACUAAAAUUUUCAAUCAGAAAUAUUAAUCUUGUUGUAGAUAGUAUAAAGAAUUUUGUAUCAAAAUUUCAUCUGAUUUGAAAACUUCUACACCGUUAAACUUGAAAACGGCAGAUAUCAACCAUUAAAAAUUAUUGAUUUUGAAUCAUUUCGUUCACUAGGUAAAUGAUAUCAAAAAAUAGCAAAAAUUAUUUUCUAGAAACUUCAAAUAUCCUAGAUCAAGUCUAACGGAGCCGAUCGUCGAUUCGAAAAUUCCAUCAUCGAAAACGGCUCAGGAGCACGAAGGCCUCCGUGCUCCUGAGAGCACAGCAGCUGUAGCACACUGGACCUUCGCAAAUUGCGAGGUUCGAGUCUUCGAUUUGUAUUCCAAACUUUUCCACACUUGGUGGAGGGCCGUCGAUGGUAUACCGGCCUAAAAGUUCGAUCUCGAGAGUUUUGGCUGAGUCCUGAGAGUUUUUACUCUCGGGGACCGGUCCCUGAUAGGAGAGACCGGUCCCCCAGUGAACAGUGCUGCGCAGCCGGCGAGGCAACCGGUCCCUGGCAGUCAUGUAAGGACUGAGAUUUUUGACAGUGUAACUAAACUCUCGGUUGCUGAUGUUUAUAUGUGUAAUUUAAUUACAUAAGCACUCGUCAAGUUUCAGGAGAAACUGAGCUAAAACGGAGAAGUUACGCGAUUAUUAGUUUUCACUUAAGUGAAUAGUAACUCCGAUUUUUCGGUGAAGCCACGGAGUAGAGUUGGCUUUCUACGCGUAUCGGACUCCGUUCAUAGUGAUCCAAUAGCUCGUUUCGACCGGUUCAGCUAUUCUGGAACUACUGGCGCUGACGGAUUUUGAGUUUGACGCACGAACUUCAAGAAAAUCCAAAAAUACAUGUUUUAUAUGUAUUUAGGUGUUAUUUUCUUAUGUGGAAAGAAGAUUGGAUUGUGUCGUGAAUCCGUGGUUGAUCGAGGUGAAGCGAAAUCACAGCUUUGUUGUCUCCGUCGUGCUGAACGCGAUGGCGCCGUCGGAUCGAAAAUCCGAUGGACGGAUUUUCGGGAAAUGCGAAAUGUUCGCUAAGGGGUCGAGAGUGGAAAAUCGGGAAAUUCGCAAAAGUCGUAAUAUUUUAUGUACCGUUUCACGUGAGAUCGCACGUGGAGGGGUAUCCGUGCACUUUACCCGUGCUGUGAGGGACUCGGAAUGAAAUGUCGAGUUUUGAGGGGCUUUUCUGCAAUUGGAGCCUUGUAUUUGAGCUUUUCACCUUGGAACCCUAACCCGAGCCCUAACCGCAUCACCCUAGCCGACCUAACCGCCUCUCCUCCCUUCCCUGAGUGCACGGCAUGCACCCCAGCCGCCGGCGCACACUGCCGGUCGCCGGAGAAGGAGGUUCCUCCUCCCUGUAGCUCUCUCCUCCAUCCCUCUCCCUCUAUCUCUCUUUCUCUCGGGUUGGAGCCCAGGCUGAGGCUACAUGGUCUUCACCGGCGUCGCCCCGUGCCCCGGCGAGCCUCCCCGCCGGCCGUCGCCGCCUUCCUGCGCCGCCGCUGCUGGUUCUGCAGCCUACGGCCACCCCAGCCCGAACCCAGGCCUAGGCAGCCCCAUCUCCCUCUUCGCGCACCACCGCCGCCAUAGCUCGGCAGCGCCGCCAUCCCCGGAGCCCCGGUGACCCCCGUGCAUCGUCGCCGUCGUCCUUGCGGGCCGCCGCCGCCUCCUCUGUCAACCGCGGACGCCCCGGGUCUGCUCGGGCCGAGAUGACCCCGCGCUGCCUCCGUGCGCCGCCGCCGCCUUAGGCCGUGCGCGCCGCCUCACCCUCAGCCUCCGGUGACGGGCCGUCGCCGUCCCAAGCCUUCCCCGGGCGCCGCCGUGGCCGCCGCCACCCUGUGAGCCCGAGCCGAGCCCGUGAGAGCUCGGGUUGCUCCAGCGACGCCGCCACCGCCAUCCGCCACCGACUGGCAUGAGCACCCCCUCCCCUUGGUGGGCCGCACUCACCCACCACCUGCGAUCCCGCCGCCGGAACCCUCUACUGGCCGGACUGGGCCCUUGCUCUCCACGGGUUUGGGAAGCUAGGGCAUCAAGGCCCGCCGUCGUCGCCGCCUCCCACCGCCUAUUGACGCGAGCCCCGACCUCCUCUGACCUGGGGCACCUUCCCCUGGCCGGUCUGCCCGCUGUCCGGCCGCCGCCGGCCACCCCGAGCCCUGCCUAGCUCUGUAAGCUGGUUUUCAGCCUUUCUGCACAUGUUUUCCUGUUCUAGUCACUGUUCCGGCGACCCGAGGCUGUUCCGAUGCCUCCGGAGGUGAGCACGGCGAUCGUCUAUCAGUGCUGAUAGCUGUGCUCACCUCAUUUAGGGUCAGCGAGCCCCUGGUUAGCGAGAUAAGCAUGAUUUUCAUGUUGUGCGCGCAGUUUACUGAAUUUCGCGUCGCUCGUGCGCUCCCCACAGUGGCCGGAAUUGCUCCGAAAGGUGAGCACGGCCUCCGGCACGCCGAGACCUGUCAGUAGGUGUCUCAGUUUGGCUGAAUGACUCCUAGUUUGUGUAGGCGGACCAUAAAAGCGCCGAAAUCGCAUGAAAUAAUGCGAUUUCGGGUAAUCGGGAGGGCUUUUAUGUAUUUUGAGUUGUUGCGACUACUGUUGGCAGCAUGGAUGAAUUGUGGGUGACCUCUGGACUGAUUGUCCAAGGCCCCGGACCUUUGCAAAGAUCGGAAAUAUAUUUCCGGUGUGUUUGUCGGCAAAAUCUGCCGACGGAACACGGUUUUGGCUCGGAAUUAUUCCGACGGUGCUUCGUGAGCUAUUGUGUAGUCGCUGAGCCUUAUUGGCUGGUCACCCGCGUCAUUUCGAGGGUUCGGAAAUGACGGGUGAGCGACGGUGGGUUCCGGUGUCGAAAUAGACACUUCCGGGAACCCGGAUCGGAAUAAUUAUCCGACGAUAAUCGUUUCGAUGUGAGGCUAGGUGUUUGCUGCCAUGAUGCACGAUUUCUUAUGUUUAGUGGCAGCGGAUGACUCGUGGCACGAGUCGGUACGUUCCGAGACAGUUCGUGGGUCCCGACGGAGUCCCGGUGCGAUUUCGGGACUUCCGGCGAGUUACGAUAGUUGGUUUUAGGAAACCGAUCAUCGUGGGUUUGUUUGUGAGGUUGUGAGAGCUAAUGGUUUGUUAUUUGUGGGUUAGACACUAACCCAGGGGACCCUCCUUAGGUCCUGUUGACGUUCUUUUGCAGUCAGGAGACAGACGCGACAGUUGUACAGGUGGGUACUUCGAUCCGACGUCGGUACAGUGGUGCACGCUCGGUGAUAUUCUUCUAUCCCUGUUCUCCUAUUAUUACUAUUGCGUAGUGUAGCUUAUUGAGCAUCGCACCCCCAUUGUCUACAUCUUACUCUACUCAUUAUUUGCAUGAUUAGUAUCCUGAGUAGGAGUAGAGUAGUUAUACCAUAUUUUCUUGUUACUCUACUUGCCUGUUCUACAUAUCUUGGGUCAUGUUUAUAGUAGAGCGGUUCCGUGACUAUCUAUGAGAUCUGUGACCUAGGCGGUCGAUUCUAGUACCCAUACUUGUUGACUUAUUCGGUGAGUUCCUUGACUUUUGUUGUCCGAUGACCUUUGAGGUCGGUGUACCCUGAGGGGUAGGAUUGUCGGCUAUGGCCGACGGUAGUUCUAGAUUAUAUACUCAGAUGACUUGUUGAUCGAUUCUUACAUAUAUAUAGUAGUUGACCUAUUGAUCAGUAUCUACAUACUUUUGGUAGGGUGUUGAGUUGUUCCAUCCUAGUUGACCUGAGUGGUCGGUUCUUGUGCUUCUUUACAGUGAUGACCUAUGUGGUCGAUAGGCCCUGGGGGGCAGGAUUGUCGGCUGGUUGCCGACGGUUGAUCAUUGACCAUAUUGCAUUGAUCGCCCGAUACUCGUUGCAUUUCACGAACACUGGCGGUCUGAUCCACCGCAAGGAGUGUUCUUUUCCGGAAAAGUGGUUGAAUGGUGACAACCCGUGAGCCCUAGAGGGGUUAUAUGCAUGUUAGAGCGGCAGUGGUACUGUCGGGAGGUGUUGCGGUGCGGACCUCCAGGGCAUUGGCUUGAGGUCUGCGGUGCUGACCAAGAGAGCAUUGGUUUCAGAUUGGGUACUUUUGGACUUCUUGACCGGUUGACGCAUAUGUCUAUAGCAGCAGUCAUUGCAUGCAUACUUAUAGUUCUUACUUUAUAGUUGUCUUGCUACUAUAGUAGAUAUUCAUGUAUGCUUUCUAUUCUAGUUACAGUAGCGGUAGCCGUUUAUUCAGUAUAGUUCUCACUUCUCUUCAGUUUAUCGCUAUUGUAUAUCUGCUCAUUACUUUGUUUAUUUCCACUGACCCAUGUUGUUGUAUAGUUCUUCCUGAUCCGGUGAGUACUCCUCGCCUUCUUCGGCUUGCGGUACCCACUGGGAGGGGAGACAUGUUUACAUGUUCUCACCUCCCCCACCAUUUUUCAGGUAUCGCGGUGGUAAGUGUAGUGUCCAAGUGUAAAUAUAUUAGCCAUAAAUUUGUAUAUAGGUGUAGAUAGUCAAUUUUACAAAGGUUAGUGUCUUUGUCCAAAACUUUAUGAUUCUACGUUUUAAGUGUCUUUUGGAAAACUUUUGACAAAGGAUGUGCCUUUGGCAAUAAGAAAUUUUUGCGAUGGUGCUCCCCAUCUUUUGGAAAAUAAAGUGUUUUAGGUCUUUAGGUAAAUAAUGUAAGUGCUUUUAAGUAUAAAAGUUUACAUUAUUUUCAUGACUUGGUAUAUUGAUAGAUUCGAUAUUGUUGACUUUAUGAUUCCCAUUAUUGAUAUGGCUUUAUUGGACCCAGCCUUCGAGAUAGCUGGCGAUGUGUGCAUGGAGUGCAGAGCAGGGUGAUGAGUUGCGNUGUGGAUAUAUGUUUAAAUACCGAUUAUAUAAAUGUGAACCUGUGAUGUGAAUGGUGUAUGAAUAUAUAAUUGUUAAUUAUUUGUAUGUUCAUUUGGUUGUGGUUGUACCUGGGUUACUUCUUGUACUUGUGUGACGCCGUGCAAAUACAGGGGAGACUCUGUCCGUGUGAACAGUGGAUUCCCUGUGUUUGUGGCGGAUCUGGCAUACUCUGGGGUCAGGCUUUUCAAAAAAAAAAAAAAAAAAAAAAAUUUCAGACGUUUUUCCGCUAUGUUUUUAAACUAAAAGGGACCCCGGGGCGUGACAAGUCGAGACCGGUCCCCGAGCGCGUCUGCGCGGGAAGAGACCGGUCCCGUGCAGGGAGAGACCGGUUCCCGAACGUUGGAUUUUCGGGGGCAGGCUGAGAGACCGAUCCCAGGUCGGGGAGACCGGUCCCUCUGGGCGAAAACUGCCCAGACCGAGCUGAUGUGAUUUUGAUUUUUUGAGGGGCUUAUCAGGAUUUUGUUACUUUAGAGCCUAUAGAGAGCCUUUCUUCUCUCUCUUUCCCUCAUUUCUCUCCACCCUUUGCAUUCUAGAGAGAGAAGAAGAGAGGAAGAAGAAGAGGAAGAAGAAGAAGAGGAAAAGGAGCUUGCUUAGAGGCCUUGGAGCAUCAUCUUCUUCCCCCAUUUCUCACUUUGGUGGCUUUGAACUUGCGGUUGGAGCUUUGUGGAGGAUCAAACUGCAACCCUACUUGGUUUUGAGCUUGGAUUGGAGCUUCUCUUGAGGUUGGUAGCUUGUAAUCCCCAUUUGAUAUAUGUUUUCCCAGGUUUUACUAGAUGAAACCCUAGAUUUUGGGAUUUAGGGUUUAUUUUGGGGGUUUUUGGAUUUGAGGGUUUUGAGACCUAAUUGAUGGGUUUGGAACCUUUAUUUAGGUUGGAUUUGAAGUACUCUAACUCCCAUUUGGAACUAGAGAGAGAAUUUCUUCACCUAGGUGAGUUUUUCUCCAUCUUAGCCUAUGUUGCUUAUCGAUUGAGUUUAGGGUUAAUCGUAAAGUUCGUUUAACCCUUGUUCCUACAUCUUUGGGGUGCUAGGAUGUAACGACCCAGCCCACUAGCAACAAUAACUCGUUGGGCCCAACCACCGGUCCAAAAUGCUUAAGCCCAGUUAUUAUUACUAGUGUCUAAGUCUCUUAUAAACCCAAUGACAACCCCAUUCCCAUCCGAUGUGGGACUAUUGUGGUGUCACAGACUCCCCCCGUUAAGGCCCUGACGUCCUCGUCAGUCCAAUCACACACACAGCCCAAGAUCACCAGGCGAUGUGAGACUCGUCUCGCUAGCCCGUCAUCCAGACCCUCGCUCAGCCGAGACUCGCCACACAUGUCCAGCUGGUGAACCGGCUCUGAUACCAAAUGUAACGACCCAGCCCACUAGCAACAAUAACUCGUUGGGCCCAACCACCGACCCAAAAUGCUUAAGCCCAGUUAUUAUUACUAGUGUCUAAGUCUCUUAUAAACCCAAUGACAACCCCAUUCCCAUCCGAUGUGGGACUAUUGGGGUGUCACAUAGGAGGCUAGUGGGCAUCUUCGUCGGAGCUUGCGAAGAGUUGCAAGAGUUUUGGUGGGUUUGGCUUCGUGGACAUGGGGUGAAAUGGUCCCUAUGCUCUUUCUACUUGUUGUAAAAUAUUUUUAAGUUCAUUUCUAUGCUAAAUGGAAUUUAUAUGAAUUUUAGAGCACUUAAAAUGCAUGCCUUGUGUAUUAUGAAAACUUCACUAUAUAAUAGAGCUAUAUGAGUAGAAUGCAUGCAUACGGAAAAAGUGUUUAUUUUGCAAGUGGAAAAUACAUCUCUUAUGAGAAUUAUGACUUGGAAUAUAUACUUUGGAACAUAGUUGCCAUGCUUUGACAUAGAGAACAAGAGUGUCAUCAAGGGGCACUUGAAACUAGUAAACUAUGAAACUGCAACAUAGGGACAUAUUGAUAGGCCACUAUUAUCCGCUACAUUUCAUGUUAGAGACAUGAUGACAUAGGGAUAGGCCGUUGAGAUACUUGACACAUUCCAUGUUAUUAGACAUGAUGACUUGGUACUUGCGACAGAUCGUUUGCCUACUUGCCAUUGUGCUCAUUCGCAUAUGCUUGUGAGGGUCGCUCCCUACAAGCCGGCACUCCGGAGAUAGCCAUCGCGAUUCAUAUUCGCCGUGCGGGAUUGGGGGCCGAAGUGGAUUGCCGUGGGCCAGGCUCAUUCCUAGGGUAGGGAUGUUGACUACCACGGGGCCAUUAGGCUCGGCACCGGCCAGACAGCCUACGGGUGGGUCUCAGGGCCAUAGACAGCCUUCGGGUGGGUCUCUUUAGAUUUUACUUGAGUAUUCAUUAUGACAUGUGGACAGAUGAUGACUUAGAGUAUUACUUGGACAUUGACUAGAAUAGUAAACAACGGAACUUUACUAUUUCGCAUUGUGAAUAUUAUGAUAGUUGGAGACUUUUACUUCAUGCAUAGUUGCUUCAUACUUAUGCUAAUUACGCUAAGUAGAGAUAUUAUGUUGUAGUAGGUUACAUUAUUUUUACUGACCUUUCGCCUUUCUACUGUUAUUGUCACUGACAUCUUUUGUAGCUUUGGGCCUUGUGGUGCAUUCACUGAAGUCAGUAAUUGCCCACUGGGAACUAUUUUUAAUAGUUGUCACGCCCAUAUUUUAUGGUUUACUUUUCAAAGCCUUCGACACCGACGGAGGCACGGGAUCGCGGCAAGGGGAUCGCUUAGUUAGCUAGCGGGGAGCGGUACUUUGCCUAGGUGGUUACUCUUUCUUUUGUAGUUAAGAGAGUGAGAGGUUUUGUAUCCAUGUAUAGAGACCACCUAUAUAUCUACCUAUAGCACUUGUAUCUGGGAUUUUCUUGUAUCACUUUAUAUUUUUAUUUAGUGGAUUUACAGUUUUACCUUAUCCUUUGUUGUAGCAUUUAGACAUUUAUUAUGCUCUGAUACUCCUAGAUGUCCUUUAUUAUUAUGCUUUUAUUAUUGUUGUUUUUAGACGACUUAUAUGUUUUAGACGUAUUGCGGGUCUGGGCACGUGCCGGGCGGGCUUCCGCUGGGUCCCGAGGCGUGACAGCAGCCCUGCUAUAUAUAUAUAUAUAUAUAGAGAGAGAGAGAGAGAGAGAGAGAGAGAGAGAGAGAGAGAGAGACAGACAGAGCUAGGCUGGUAUACUAUCGGUAGCACGGAGGCCUCCGUGCUACCAAGUUGUUUUCGAUGAUGCGGCUUCCAAAUCGACGAUCGGCUCCGUUAGACUUGAUCUAUACUAUUAAAAGUAUUUGGAAACUAAAUUUCAUAAAUUUUCGACAUCAUUUGGCUAGUGAUCAAAAUAUCUCAAAAUUGACAAUUUUAAUGGUAGAUGUGACACGUUUGUGAAUUUAACGGUGUAAAACAAUCCAAAUUUGAUGAAAUUUUUAUAGAAAAUUCUUUUCACUAUUUAGAGUAAGAUCAGUAUCUCUGAUCUUAAAUUCAAGUAUUUUGUCAUCAUUUUUUAUGAGAUUUUUAUUUUCAGCCAUUCAUUUUUAGACUACUCGUUUGAUAGGUAAAUGAUACCGAAAAAUUAUAAAAUUUAGUUUCCAAAUACUUUUAAUAGUGUAGAUCAAGCCUAAUGAAGCCGAUCGUCGAUUUAGAAGCCACAUCAUUGAAAACAACUUGGUAGCACGGAGGCCUCCGUGCUACCGAUAGUAUACUAGCCUAGCUCUAUAUAUGAUUUAGGCAAACGAAGUCAAAAAAUUAUGAAAUUUGGUUUCUAGAUAGUUCCAAUAGCGUAGAUUAUUUUUAAUGGAACCGAUCGCCGAAUCGGACGUCUCAUCAUUGAAAAUAACUUAUAAGUACGGAGGCUUCCGUACUUUCGAAAGCAUAGGAGCCUAGCUCUAUAUAUAUAUAUAUAUAUAUAUAUAUAUAUAUAUAUAUAUAUAUAGAUUANNNNNNNNNNNNNNNNNNNNNNNNNNNNNNNNNNNNNNNNNNNNNNNNNNNNNNNNNNNNNNNNNNNNNNNNNNNNNNNNNNNNNNNNNNNNNNNNNNNNNNNNNNNNNNNNNNNNNNNNNNNNNNNNNNNNNNNNNNNNNNNNNNNNNNNNNNNNNNNNNNNNNNNNNNNNNNNNNNNNNNNNNNNNNNNNNNNNNNNNNNNNNNNNNNNNNNNNNNNNNNNNNNNNNNNNNNNNNNNNNNNNNNNNNNNNNNNNNNNNNNNNNNNNNNNNNNNNNNNNNNNNNNNNNNNNNNNNNNNNNNNNNNNNNNNNNNNNNNNNNNNNNNNNNNNNNNNNNNNNNNNNNNNNNNNNNNNNNNNNNNNNNNNNNNNNNNNNNNNNNNNNNNNNNNNNNNNNNNNNNNNNNNNNNNNNNNNNNNNNNNNNNNNNNNNNNNNNNNNNNNNNNNNNNNNNNNNNNNNNNNNNNNNNNNNNNNNNNNNNNNNNNNNNNNNNNNNNNNNNNNNNNNNNNNNNNNNNNNNNNNNNNNNNNNNNNNNNNNNNNNNNNNNNNNNNNNNNNNNNNNNNNNNNNNNNNNNNNNNNNNNNNNNNNNNNNNNNNNNNNNNNNNNNNNNNNNNNNNNNNNNNNNNNNNNNNNNNNNNNNNNNNNNNNNNNNNNNNNNNNNNNNNNNNNNNNNNNNNNNNNNNNNNNNNNNNNNNNNNNNNNNNNNNNNNNNNNNNUAUAUAUAUAUAUAUAUAUAUAUAUAUAUAUAUAUAUGGAGUUGAGCUAUGAUACUUUUACAAGUAUCAACAUCAUGGUGCUAUUAGGUUUUAAGCCAUUGGAUCUACUUUUUGAUUAUUAAUAGCCCUUGGAUUAAACACUAUUCCACCUACCACCACCUACCACCAUCAUCUCAACCUCACAUCUCUCCAUCCAAGGGCUAAAAACACACAAGUAUCACCCCCAUGAUACUUUUACAAGUAUUCUAGCCCUACUCUAUAUAUAUGUAUAUAAUUUUGGAAGCCAAGUUAUUAGGUGCUGUCAUGUGGCACAAUUUAGUAUGAAAUUCAAAUAUACAUUAGUAAUAUUAUAAACUUAUUAUGUUCCAACGUACAAUCAAACUACUAUAACUAUUAUAAAUAGAAAAAAAACUGAUUUUUUAAUGUUGGGUUGAAUAAGAAGUUUAAAUUUAGUAAAAUAGUAAAAAGUUUAAAAAGAUUCCUUACUUUAAAUUUUAUUUCCAAAAGAAAAUUCAAAAUUAAAUUGUAACAAAAUUUUUCAAGUGAUGCAGUUCUGUUUUAGUUAAUAACUUAAAUUAAAAAUCAUAUAUCAUAUAUUUAUAAGAAAUAUCUUAUUAUAUUGCAGCUGUUUCUUACUUGAAGGCAAUCUUUUUUGUUCUAUUUUGAUUCAGAAGUAAUUUUUUAAAUAGUUAUUUUAACUUGAUUCAAUAAUUUUUUAAUAAAAAAUUAAUUUGUAAAAAUUUAUAUAUAUAUAUAUAUAUAUAUAUAUAUAGAGUAGGGCUAGAAUACUUGUAAAAGUAUCAUGGGUGUGAUACUUGUGUGUUUUUAGCCCUUGGAUGGAGAGAUGUGAGGUUGAGAUGAUGGUGGUAGGUGGUGGUAGGUGGAAUAGUGUUUAAUCUAAGGGCUAUUAAUAAUCAAAAAAUAGAUCCAAUGGCUUAAAACCUAAUAGCACCAUGAUGGUGAUACUUGUAAAAGUAUCAUAGCUCAACUCUCUCUCUCUCUCUCUCUCUCUCUCUCUCUCUCUCUAUAUAUAUAUAUAUAUAUAGUACGGCUGGGAUACUAUCGAUAGUACCAAGGGCUUGGUGCUAUUGUGUAAGGACUGAGAUUUUUACAGUGCUACUAAACUCUUUAUUGAUGAUGUUUAUGUGUGUAAUUUAAUUACAUAAGAACUCGUCAAGUUUCAAGAGAAAUUGAGCUAAAACGGAGAAGUUACACGAUUAUUAGUUUUCACUUAAGUGAAUAGUAACUCCGAUUUUUCGGUGAAGCCACGGAGUAGAGUUGGCUUUAUACGUGUAUCGGACUCCGUUCAUAGCGAUCCAAUAGCUCGUUUCGACCGGUUCAGCUAUUCUGGAACUAAUGGCGCUGUCGGAUUUUGAGUUUGACGCACGAAUUUCGAGAAAAUCCAAAAAUACAUGUUUUAUAUGUAUUUAUGUGUUAUUUUCUUUUGUUGGAAAGAAAGAUUGGAUUGUGUCGUGAAUCCGUGGUCGAUCGAGGUAAAACGAAAUCGCAGCUUUGUUGUCUCCGUCGUGCCGAACGCAAUGGCGCUGUCGGAUCGAAAAUUCGACGGACGAAUUUUCGGGAAACGCAAAAUGUUCGCUGAGGGGUCGAAGGUGGCAAAUCGGAAUUUUCGCAAAAGUCCCCAUAUUUUAUGUACCGUUUCGCGUAAUUUUGAACGUUGAGGUACACACGCGCAUAUUACACGCGUGGUGAAGGACUGGACUGAAAAUAGAAAGACUUGGGGGACCUUUCUGCAAUUUUGCACCCUAAAUAGGUGUAGGUAUUAGGGUUCCAAACAGGAAACCCUAACCCUAGCCGAUCCAAUGCCCUAGCUGCGCCACCAGCACUUCCUCCACCUCCCUGCCCUCUCCCUGCGCAUGCUCCGGCCGCUGGCGAGCACUUCCGGCCGGUGGAAAUACCUGCAUCAUCUCCCUCUCUCUCCCUCUCGGCCAACCACUUCGCCGCAGUGUGGUUGCGGACCCAGGAAGCGACCCUAACUUGAGCACCAUCUCCUCUUGGCCAAGAUCCAUCUCCGGUGUCGUUCCCGCCGGUCGCCGCCGCCUGCCGCCGUCGCCUGCGCCGCCGCUGCUACUUCUGCAGCCUGCGGCCACCCCAGCCCGAACACAGGCCGAGGCAGCCCCAUCUCCCUCUCCUCGCACCACCGCCGCCAUAGCUCGGCAGCGCCGCCAUCCCCGGAGCCCCGGUGACCCCCGUGCAUCGUCGCCGUCGUCCCUGCGGGCCGCCGCCGCCUCCUCUGUCAACCGCGGCCGCCCGAGGUCUGCUCGGGCCGAGAUGACCCCGCACCGCCUCCGUACGUCGCCGCCGCCCUAGGCCGUGCGCGCCGCCUUCCCCUUGGUCUCCGGCGACGGGUCGUCGCCGUCCCAAGCCUUUCCCGGUCGCCGCCGUGGCCGCCGCCACCCUGUGAGCCGAGCCGAGCCCGCGAGAGCUCGGGUUGCUCCAGCGCCGCCGCCACCGCCAUCCGCCACCGACCGGUGUGAGCACCCCCUCUCCUUGGUUGGCCGCACUCGCCCACCACCGGCGCUCCCACCGCCGGAACCCUCUACUGGCCGAACUGGGCCCUUGCUCUCCACGGGUUUGGGAAGCUAGGGCAUCAAUGCCCGCCGUCGUCGCCGCCUCCCGUCGCCUGUUGACGCGAGCCCCGGCCUCCUCUGACCUGGAGCACCUUCCCCUGGCCGGCCUGCCCGCUGUCCGGCCGCCGCCGGCCACCCCGAGCCCUGCCUAGCUCCGGUAAGCUUGUAUUGCAAUUAUUGUGCACUAUUUGGGGGUUGUGUAUACUGUUCCGGCAACCCGAGGCUGUUCCGAUGCCUCCGGAAGUGAGCACGGUGAUCGUCAGUCAGUGCUGAUCAUAGUGCUCACCUCAAUUAGGGUCAGCGAGCCCCUGGUUAGCGAGAUAAGCAUGAUUUUCAUGCUGUGCGCGCAGUUUACUGAAUUUCGCAUCGCUCGUGCGCUCCCACAGUGGCCGGAAUUGCUCCGAAAGGUGAGUACGGCCUCUGGCACGCCGAGACCUGUCAGUAGGUGUCUCGGUUUGGCUGAAUGACUCCUAGUUUGCGUAGACGGACCAUAAAAGCGCUGAAAUCACAUAAAAUAAUGUGAUUUCGGGUAUUCAGAAGGGCUUUUAUGCAACUUUGUUUGUCGUGGCUACUGUUGGCAGCAUGGAUGAGCUGUGGGUGACCUCUGGACUGAUUGUCCAAGGCCCCGGACCUUUGCGAAGAUCCGAAAUGUAUUUCCGGUGCGUUUGUCGGCAAAAUCCGCCGACGGAACGCGGUUUUGGUUCGGAAUUAUUCUGACGAUGCUUCGUGAGCUAUUGUGUAGUCGCUGAUCCUUGUUGGCUGGUCACUCACAUCAUUUCGAGAGUUCAAAAAUGACGGGUGAGCGACGGUGGGUUCCGGUGUCGAAAUAGACACUUCCGGGAACCCGGAUCGGAACGAUUAUCCGACGAUAAUCGUUUUGGAGUGAGUUAAGGUCUCUGCUGCCAAGUCACACGUAAAUUUGUAUUUAGGGGCAACGGGUGACUCGUGGUACGAGUCGGUGCCUUCCGGGAUAGUCCGUGGGUCCUGGGAGUGUCUCGGUGCGAUUACGGGAUAUCCGGCGUAUUACGACGAUCGGUUUGGGAAACCGAUUCUUGUGGGUUUAUUUAUGGGGUUAUACUUUUAGGGUUUCUUAGUUGUGGGUUAGACACUAACCCAGUGGACCCUUCUUAGGUCCGGUUGACGUUCUUUUACAGUCAGGAGACAGGCGCGACAGUUGUACAGGUGGGUACUUCGAUCCGACGUCGGUACAGUGGUGCACGUUCGGUGAUAGUUUUUUACCCUUGCCCUCUUACUACUAUCUGUGUGCAUAUACAUAUUGAGCCUUGCACCCAUAUUAUUUUCAUAUUUACUCUACUCGGUUGUUUCCAUGUUUAGUAUCUUGUGUAGGAGUAGAGUAGAUUUCAUCAGCAUAUGAUAUCUGUGACAUGAUUGGUCGAGUUCAUAUCCUAUAUCUGUGACAUGAUUGGUCAAGUUCAUAUCCUAUAUCUGUGACAUGAUUGGUCAAGUUCAUAUCCUAUAUCUGUGACAUGAUUGGUCGAGCUCAUAUCCUAUACUUGUGAUAUGAUUGGUCGAGUUUCAUAUCCUAUACUUAUGACCUAUUCGGUCGAGUUGCUACAGUUCUAUCUUGACAUACGUAGCCGACUAGUUGCUGAUGGCCUAUACGGUCGGUGUGCCCUGAGAGGUUGGAUUGUCGGCUAGUUGCCGAUGGAAGAUAUUUGAGCAUACUAUAUUGAUCGUCACUACAGGUACGCAUUUCACGAACACCAGCGGUCUGAUCCACCGCAAGAGGGUGUUCUUUUCCGGAAAAGUUGUUGGAUUGCCAACCCGUGAGCCCAGGGCUUUAUUGCGAGGGUAUAUGCUUCUGACCUAGGGGCUUCAUUGCGAGGGUCAGGUACUAUGCUUCUGACCCAGGGGCUUCAUUGCGAGGGUCAGGUACAGGUUGAGCAGUGUGGCAUGGGCUUGAGGUCUUCGGACCAAUAGGGCAGCGAGAUUGGGUACUUUUGAGGUUAUCGUCAGUUGACGCAUAUGUCUAUAGUAGCAGUCGUGCAUGCAUAUUUACAGUUCUUACUUUAUAGUUGUCUUGCUACUAUAGUAGAUAUUCAUGUAUGCUUUCGGUUCCAGUUAUAGUAGCGGUAGUCGUUGUUCAGUCUAGUUCUUACUUUCUGUCAGUUUAUUGCUACUGUAUUUAGUAUAUCUGCUCAUUACCUUAUACAUCUCUUUCGUUUACUAUUGUUCCUACUGUAUUUUCACUGACCCGUAUUGUUGUAUAGCUCUUCCUGAUCCGGUGAGUACUCCUCGCCUUCUUCGGCUUGCGGUACCCACUGGGAGGGGAGACAUGUUUACAUGUUCUCACCUCCCCCACCAUUUUUCAGGUAUCGCAGAUGAUGUGUAUUGGGACGAGACGCGAGAUACGUACGUAGCGGUCGAUAGAUCUUCCGACCCAGGUUGUUCGGUUUAGUUUCUACCCUUACUAUUCUGUUGAUAUAGCAUAGAUAGCUUGUAUGGUUCAGUAUUUAUUUACAUUUGAAAAUGUGGAUUUUCAUGAAUGUAAUAAAAGGAUUUCUGGAUUUGGUAAACUAAAAGGUUUUCUACCCCUCGUGGUAGCGUUUCUAAAGAAUAAAGGUUUCCGUGUAGGAAACAGUUUUCAAAAGGAUUUUUCGUGGAUUUCUGUUUAAACAUUGAAUGUAAAACUGUGAUGUGAAUGGUGAAUGUAUGAAUGUAUAGUUAUCUUUAUACUCAUCUAGUUGUGGUUGUAUCCUGGUUGUACUCUUGUACUUGUGCGACGCCGUGCAAAUACAGGGGAGACUCUGUCCGUGUGAACAGUGGAUCUCCUGUAUUUGUGGCGGAUCUGGCAUACUCUGGGGUCAGAUAUAUAAAAAAAAAAAAAAAAAUUCAGACGCUUUUCCGCUAUCUUUUAAACUGAAAGGGACCCCGGGGCGUGACAUAUUGAGUUUUCCACCGUUAGAUUAACCUUUUGAUUAUUUUUAUCUGUUAGAUUAUACUAUUUAACCAACCACCCCCUCAACCCUAAGGGGCCCAUAUCAUUAUAACUGCACAUUUUUCAAUCUAAGGGCUAAAAAACUAAUAGCACCAAUAGUUUGGUGCUAUUGAUAGUAUUCCAGCAUAGUUCUAUAUAUAUAUAUUACAUAAAAGUUAUAAAAAAAGAUAAAAUUAAGACCUGUGUAUCGCACGGGUUAGUUGCUAGUAUAUAU
rnacentral:lncRNA from 1 species